AACCAGCUCCCCGAGGGGUUACCACGCAUACUGGGCCUAAAGCGUCCGUAGCCGGCCCUGCAAGUCUGCAGUUAAAUCCGCCUGUAGACAGGCGGGCUGCUGCAGAUACCGCAGGGCUAGGGAGCGGGAGGAGCCGGGGGUAUUCCCGGGGGAGCGGUAAAAUGCGUAGAUCCCGGGAGGACCACCAGUGGCGAAGGCGCCCGGCUUGAACGCGUCCGACGGUGAGGGACGAAAGCUGGGGGAGCAAACCGG
rnacentral:rRNA from 1 species